rnacentral:rRNA from 1 species
GAUGAACGCUGGCUACAUGCUUAACACAUGCAAGUCGAGGGGAAACGACCUGCUAGCUUGCUUCGCCCGGCGUCCACCCGCGCACGUGUCACUUACGUAUCCCCCCCCUGCCUCUGACUUAGCUUUAACCCACCGAAGCUCGUCCCAAUUACUCAUUCCUUCUUCUUCGUGCAUCCAACGACGUUUCAGGAGUUCGUCGUUCACUGACGGGGUUGCGUCUUAUUAGUUUGUUGGUGGGGUAACGGCCCACCAAGGCGACGAUCAGUAGGGGUUCUGAGAGGACGGUCCCCCACAUGGGAACUGGGACACGGUCGAAACUCCUACGGGAGGCAGCAGUGAGGAAGAGUGGUCAAUGGGCGAGAGCCUGAACCAGCCAAGUAGCGUGCAGGAGGACGGCCCUAUGGGUUGUAAACUGCUGUUAGGCGGGGAUAAAGUGAGGGACGGGGCCUUCAUUGCAGGUACCGCAUGAAUAAGGACCGGCUAAUUCCGUG